CACAAAACUCUCCCUUUCCUCCACUCCGUUCCUCUCAAGCAGCCCCUUGGAAGUUAAUCAUCCAUCUGAGCUUCAGAAGAAUAAGGGAUGUUUGGACCGUUACAUUCAGCCAACAGAAGCAUGUGGACAGACAUUGACUGUAAUGAUGGACAUCUGCUGAUGCACAGGCAGAAAUAUAACCCCUGCUGGACAUUGUGCUGGAGCUCGGGGGGACACCAUGAUCCCCCACGCCUUCUCAGUCACACCAGACCAUUCACUCAUAUCACGGAGAUCUGGCUGGACUCGAACCAGCAACCUCUGAAACCGUGAGGCAGCACUCUUACCACUGAGCCACAGAUCUCUUGCCUGAACAUGUGCAGGAACUUAUAUUUCACUAUUAACCCUGUCAUUUUACAAUAAACCAG
rnacentral:lncRNA from 1 species